GCCGAUAUAGCUCAGCUGGUAGAGCAACGCAUUCGUAACGCGUAGGCCAGCGGUUCAAUCCCGCUUAUCGGCUCCA
rnacentral:tRNA from 1 species